UGGUGGAGUGAUUUGUCUGGUUAAUUCCGUUAACGAACGAGACCUUAACCGGCUAAAUAGUCACACGAUUCUCGAAUCGUGACUGACUUCUUAGAGGGACUGUUGAUGUUUAAUCAAAGUCAGGAAGGCAAUAACA
rnacentral:rRNA from 1 species